AUUGAACGCUGGCGGCAUGCUUUACACAUGCAAGUCGAACGGUAACAGGCCUUCGGGUGCUGACGAGUGGCGAACGGGUGAGUAAUGCAUCGGAACGUACCCAGAGGUGGGGGAUAACGCAGCGAAAGCUGUGCUAAUACCGCAUGUGAUCUGAGGAUGAAAGCGGGGGACCGAGCAGCAAUGUUUGGCCUCGCGCCUUUGGAGCGGCCGAUGUCGGAUUAGCUAGUUGGUGGGGUAAAGGCCUACCAAGGCGACGAUCCGUAGCUGGUCUGAGAGGACGACCAGCCACACUGGGACUGAGACACGGCCCAGACUCCUACGGGGGGCAGCAGUGGGGAAUUUUGGACAAUGGGCGCAAGCCUGAUCCAGAAAUGCCGCGUGCGGGAAGAAGGCCUUCGGGUUGUAAACCGCUUUUGGCAGGAACGAAACGGUGUCCGCUAAUACCGGGCGCUAAUGACGGUACCUGCAGAAUAAGCACCGGCUAACUACGUG
rnacentral:rRNA from 1 species